rnacentral:rRNA from 1 species
UAGGGAAUCUUCGGCAAUGGACGAAAGUCUGACCGAGCAACGCCGCGUGAGUGAAGAAGGUUUUCGGAUCGUAAAACUCUGUUGUUAGAGAAGAACAAGGACGUUAGUAACUGAACGUCCCCUGACGGUAUCUAACCAGAAAGCCACGGCUAACUACGUGCCAGCAGCCGCGGUAAUACGUAGGUGGCAAGCGUUGUCCGGAUUUAUUGGGCGUAAAGCGAGCGCAGGCGGUUUCUUAAGUCUGAUGUGAAAGCCCCCGGCUCAACCGGGGAGGGUCGUUGGAAACUGGGAGACUUUAGUGCAGAAGAGGAGAGUGGAAUUCCAUGUGUAGCGGUGAAAUGCGUAGAUAUAUGGAGGAACACCAGUGGCGAAGGCGGCUCUCUGGUCUGUAACUGACGCUGAGGCUCGAAAGCGUGGGGAGCAAACAGG